AUCAAAGGAAUAAGGC
rnacentral:rRNA from 1 species